UGCACAUGAUGUUUUUUCUCACGAUGGUCUUCCAAGCCUGUAGGGUUCUGACGACAAUGCCUUUUGGCAACACUGAUGCAGUCAA
ensembl:snoRNA